GGGCUGUUAGCACAGUUGGUAGUGCGCCCGCUUCGCAUGCGGGAGGUCCUGGUUUCGAUUACCAGAUAGUCCA
rnacentral:tRNA from 9 species